rnacentral:rRNA from 1 species
GACGAACGCUGGCGGCGUGCUUAACACAUGCAAGUCGAACGAUGAUGCCCAGCUUGCUGGGUGGAUUAGUGGCGAACGGGUGAGUAACACGUGAGUAACCUGCCCCUGACUCUGGGAUAAGCGUUGGAAACGACGUCUAAUACUGGAUAUGAUCACUGGCCGCAUGGUCUGGUGGUGGAAAGAUUUUUUGGUUGGGGAUGGACUCGCGGCCUAUCAGCUUGUUGGUGAGGUAAUGGCUCACCAAGGCGACGACGGGUAGCCGGCCUGAGAGGGUGACCGGCCACACUGGGACUGAGACACGGCCCAGACUCCUACGGGAGGCAGCAGUGGGGAAUAUUGCACAAUGGGCGAAAGCCUGAUGCAGCAACGCCGCGUGAGGGAUGACGGCCUUCGGGUUGUAAACCUCUUUUAGUAGGGAAGAAGCGAAAGUGACGGU